rnacentral:rRNA from 1 species
UACAGAGGGUGCGAGCGUUGUUCGGAAUUACUGGGCGUAAAGCGCGCGCAGGCGGCCCUUUAAGUCCGUCGGUCAAAUGCCGGGGCUCAACCCCGAGCGUGCCGAGGAUACUGGAGGGCUGGAGACACGUAGAGGCAAGCGGAAUUCCGGGUGUAGCGGUGGAAUGCGUAGAGAUCCGGAAGAACACCGGAGGCGAAGGCGGCUCGCUAGGACGGUACUGACGCUGAGACGCGAAAGCGUGGGGAGCGAACAGG